rnacentral:rRNA from 1 species
AGUGAAGCGGCAACAGCUCAAAUUUGAAAUCUGGCCUCCCUUGGGGGUCCGAGUUGUAAUUUGCAGAGGGUGCUUUGGCGUCGGCAGCGGUCUAAGUUCCUUGGAACAGGACAUCACAGAGGGUGAGAAUCCCGUACGUGGUCGCCUGCCUUCGCCGUGUAAAGCCCCUUCGACGAGUCGAGUUGUUUGGGAAUGCAGCUCUAAAUGGGAGGUAAAUUUCUUCUAAAGCUAAAUACCGGCCAGAGACCGAUAGCGCACAAGUAGAGUGAUCGAAAGAUGAAAAGCACUUUGGAAAGAGAGUCAAACAGCACGUGAAAUUGUUGAAAGGGAAGCGCUUGCAGCCAGACUUGCUCGUAGUUGCUCAUCCGGGUCCGCCCGGAGCACUCUUCUGCGAGCAGGCCAGCAUCAGUUUGGGCGACCGGAUAAAGGCCUCUGUCAUGUACCUUCCCUCGGGAAGGCCUUAUAGGGGAGGCGUAAUGCGGCCAGCCCGGACUGAGGUCCGCGCAUCUGCUAGGAUGCUGGCGUAAUGGCUGUAAGCGGCCCGUCUUGAAACACGGACCAAGGAGUCUAACAUCUAUGCGAGUGUUUGGGUGUCAAGCCCGGGCGCGUAAUGAAAGUGAACGGAGGUGGGAACCCUCUCCGGGGGGUGCACCAUCGACCGAUCCUGAUGUCUUCGGAUGGAUUUGAGUAAGAGCAUAGCUGUUGGGACCCGAAAGAUGGUGAACUAUGCUUGAAUAGGGUGAAGCCAGAGGAAACUCUGGUGGAGGCUCGCAGCGGUUCUGACGUGCAAAUCGAUCGUCAAAUUUGGGCAUAGGGGCGAAAGACUA